rnacentral:ncRNA from 2 species
CCUCCCACCGAGGAGCGCUGCAACCCCAUUAUUAAAUCGGCACCUGCGGUCGGGUUUCGACCACAGGUGCCGAUUUAGUCGCGGGGCCAGGCUCGGUGAGGAGGUAUCUUCAACGACGGCGCUCACUCUGA